CACUGACUAAACCUACCAAGGUUAGUUACUUUAUGGCUGGUUAGGACACUGACUAAACCUACCAAGGUUAGUUACUUUAUGGCUGGUUAGGACACUGACUAAACCUACCAAGGUUAGUUACUUUAUGGAUGAGGACACUGACUAAACCUACCAAGGUUAGUUACUUUAUGGAUGAGGACACUGACUAAACCUACCAAGGUUAGUUACUUUAUGGAUGAGGACACUGACUAAACCUACCAAGGUUAGUUACUUUAUGGAUGAGGACACUGACUAAACCUACCAAGGUUAGUUACUUUAUGUCUGGUUAGGACACUGACUAAACCUACCAAGGUUAGUUACUUUAUGGAUGAGGACACUGACUAAACCUACCAAGGUUAGUUACUUUAUGGAUGAGGACACUGACUAAACCUACCAAGGUUAGUUACUUUAUGUCUGGUUAGGACACUGACUAAACCUACCAAGGUUAGUUACUUUAUGGCUGGUUAGGACACUGACUAAACCUACCAAGGUUAGUUACUUUAUGGAUGAGGACACUGACUAAACCUACCAAGGUUAGUUACUUUAUGGAUGAGGACACUGACUAAACCUACCAAGGUUAGUUACUUUAUGGAUGAGGACACUGACUAAACCUACCAAGGUUAGUUACUUUAUGACUGGUUAGGACACUGACUAAACCUACCAAGGUUAGUUACUUUAUGACUGGUUAGGACACUGACUAAACCUACCAAGGUUAGUUACUUUAUGGAUGAGGACACUGACUAAACCUACCAAGGUUAGUUACUUUAUGGCUGGUUAGGACACUGACUAAACCUACCAAGGUUAGUUACUUUAUGGAUGAGGACACUGACUAAACCUACCAAGGUUAGUUACUUUAUGGAUGAGGACACUGACUAAACCUACCAAGGUUAGUUACUUUAUGGAUGAGGACACUGACUAAACCUACCAAGGUUAGUUACUUUAUGGAUGAGGACACUGACUAAACCUACCAAGGUUAGUUACUUUAUGGAUGAGGACACUGACUAAACCUACCAAGGUUAGUUACUUUAUGGAUGAGGACACUGACUAAACCUACCAAGGUUAGUUACUUUAUGGAUGAGGACACUGACUAAACCUACCAAGGUUAGUUACUUUAUGGAUGAGGACACUGACUAAACCUACCAAGGUUAGUUACUUUAUGGAUGAGGACACUGACUAAACCUACCAAGGUUAGUUACUUUAUGGAUGAGGACACUGACUAAACCUACCAAGGUUAGUUACUUUAUGACUGGUUAGGACACUGACUAAACCUACCAAGGUUAGUUACUUUAUGUCUGGUUAGGACACUGACUAAACCUACCAAGGUUAGUUACUUUAUGGAUGAGGACACUGACUAAACCUACCAAGGUUAGUUACUUUAUGGAUGAGGACACUGACUAAACCUACCAAGGUUAGUUACUUUAUGGAUGAGGACACUGACUAAACCUACCAAGGUUAGUUACUUUAUGACUGGUUAGGACACUGACUAAACCUACCAAGGUUAGUUACUUUAUGGAUGAGGACACUGACUAAACCUACCAAGGUUAGUUACUUUAUGGAUGAGGACACUGACUAAACCUACCAAGGUUAGUUACUUUAUGGAUGAGGACACUGACUAAACCUACCAAGGUUAGUUACUUUAUGGAUGAGGACACUGACUAAACCUACCAAGGUUAGUUACUUUAUGGAUGAGGACACUGACUAAACCUACCAAGGUUAGUUACUUUAUGGAUGAGGACACU